UCCUACGGGAGGCAGCAGUGGGGAAUAUUGGACAAUGGGCGAAAGCCUGAUCCAGCAACGCCGCGUGGAGGAUGAAGGCCUUCGGGUUGUAAACUCCUGUCAGGUGGGACGAAAAGGCUGCGGUCAAUAACCGGAGCACUUGACGGUACCACCGGAGGAAGCCCCGGCUAACUACGUGCCAGCAGCCGCGGUAACACGUAGGGGGCAAGCGUUAUUCGGAAUUAUUGGGCGUAAAGGGCGCGUAGGCGGCCAGACAAGUCAGGGGUGAAAUCCCUCGGCUCAACCGAGGACCUGCCUCUGAAACUAUUUGGCUUGAGGCCGGGAGAGGGUAGUGGAAUUCCCAGUGUAGCGGUGAAAUGCGUAGAUAUUGGGAGGAACACCAGUUGCGAAGGCGGCUACCUGGACCGGUUCUGACGCUGAGGCGCGAAAGUGUGGGGAGCAAACAGGAUUAGAUACCCUGGUAGUCCACACUGUAAACGAUGAGCACUCGGUGUCGCGGGUGUCGACCCCUGCGGUGCCUUAGGUAACCCGUUAAGUGCUCCGCCUGGGGAGUACGGUCGCAAGGCUGAAACUCAAAUGAAUUGACGG
rnacentral:rRNA from 1 species